UCACAUACGUACAUGUUCGGGUUUCUUUUAAAAGCGUUAUUGAUAUCUUUCACAACUCUCUGGACCAAGACAUCCACCUCCUCUUCCGACUCAGCCAUUUUCAGAGCUCGAGUGACGUCAACAACGCCGGUGACUCAACCUCAUCCGGGACAUUUCACUGUCAUAGGACAUUUCAGGGUCUCGUGAGAAGUUGUCACAGUAACCAUAACGCGUACGUUGUUGUAAUGUAAAAUUAGGAGAUGAUCUUGCAUUAAAAAAAAAAAAAACUAAAUUUAUCUACACGUCGCUGUGGUCUUUGUUACUCGCCAUUUGGAGGUAAAUCUUGUUUAAUCAGGGAAGUCGUGGCCUAGUGGUUAGAGAGUUUGACUCCUAACCCUGGGUCGUGGCACCGAACGCUCAACUGCUCCCUGGGUGCCGCAGCAUAAAUGGCUGCCCACUGCUUCGGGUUUGUGUGUGUUCACUGCUGUGCGUGUGCACUUUGGAUGGGUUAAAUGCAGAGCAUGAAUUCUGAGUAUUGGUCACCAUACUUGGCUGAAUGUCAUGUCACUUUCACUUUCAUCAUUGAAGCCUCUGAAUGUAGGUGCAGAGACAUUUGGAAAAAGACAGGGACGUCGCAGGUUGUCAAGGUGCCGCACUGGGCGAUGGCUUGGGGCGACGUGUGCGCAGGGGCGCUGGACUCGGGGUAAAACCAGUACUGAUUACCAGGGCCCCAAAGGAAGAGAGGGCCCUUGAAAAGUCUGGAAUAUAUAUUUUCAAAGGGGGGUUCCAUCUUGUGCAGCACCCCUGCAUGUGCGACGUGGAAUUUGUUUAAACAAGGAUUUACACAAGCUCCAGUCUGGAUCCAGAACACCUGAGAAGAGAUGAUGCUGACCCCUCAGAGGACCCCAGAUGAUGCUAACCCUGAAACAACACACAGAACUAACAAAUAUUGCUACAAGAGUGAUUGCAUCAUAUAAUAAUUGAUGUUAAUAAUGUUCAUCAUCUGGUUGACUAUGUCUUGUAUUCAUCUUUCUCAAAAAUCCUGUCAUAUGCACAUAAACUGACAGUCACCUCUUAUAAACUACUACUAAAUAUUGUAGAAACGUAAUUUUUUGUAAAGUUGCUUUGUAAUGAUAUGUACUUUAAAAAGCGCUAUACAAAUAAACU